AAAUCUUUAUCUAUAUAUAUUCCUGAAUUUGAAGGGAAGAAAUUAUACCCAGGAGGUACAUAAAGGAUGGAGAAAUAUGGUCCUCAUUAGCUUCAAUAAACCAAUUAACAUUUUAAUCAAUUUUUCUAGGCUUGUAGACUAGAGCCUAGAGCAUUUUAAUCAAUUUUUCUAGGCUUGUAGACUAGAAGAAAUGCGAACUACCUUUGACUCCUCCACUGAGUCCCCUAUAUCUAUAAUGUCACUAAAUUCUUUCUACUUUAACCAUUUUCUCUACUCUUACUUUUUUCUUUCCUUCUCAACUGCCACUUCACCAGACUUCAAUCUGUCUUGUAUUAAGGCCAGCAGAUUAAUAUUCCUAAUAAUUAUUUCCAUCAUGUCACCAUUCAUCCUCUCAAGAAUCUACAUUGCCUAGAGUAUCAAGGCCAAGCUUCUCUUUUGGAGAAAUAAGAGCCCUCCACCAUCCAAAUUCACCCUCCUUGUAUAAAUUUUAAUUUCUAAUACCGCCUAAAACAUAUACUCGUUUCAGACAGGGACAUCUAUCUAAGCACUUCUCCCACAAUGCCAAGCCCAUUCUUGCUUUACUGACUGUGCAAGUGCCAGUGUAUUGCUGAAAGGACCUUGCUGCUGCCCUGUUCACUUAAUUGUCUCAUUUUCAAAGUUCAGUUCAAGUCCCACUGCCAGAAAGAGGCCUUUUUCAGUUACUCUGGCUGUAACAACAUGGAUGCGUCCUAUUUCUGAAAUCAUUCUCUCCUUAGAGUUAGGGCAAGUAAGAAAUAUUUCUUUCUUUAAAGCUUUACUAGGAAGGUUAUAAGCUACUUGGGGCCAUGUUUUUAACUCCCUUUUUCUCCAGUGUUGUAUAAAAUGAGUUGGGCCUUUGUUUAUUCUUAAUGCUUUGACUCACAGGAAAACUAAAAUUUAAAUUUGAAGAUUAUGAUUUAGGAAAAAUUUUUAGGAAUUUGUACAAAUUUAGAAAUGUACACAGUAUUGGUGUGGUAUAAGUUUUUAGUAUUUAUAUUAAGUAGCUUCUUAAAAAUAAACUAUACUCAUGGCAAAAGAAAAUUCAAAAGUUUUCCUCUUUAUCCCCAGUCACACUAUCCCCAGUUCCACUCUAGAGAGGUAGCCAAUCAUUCAGAAUAUGUCUAUGCAUAUGCAUGUACUUAAGGCAAAUGAGAUCAUAAUUUACAUACUGUUCUACCAAUUUGCAUUUUUAAUUAAAAAUAUACCUUGGAACCCUUUCCAUAUUAGUACUGUAUGAUUCCAUCAUCCUUAAUAUUUUGCAUAGUUUUCCAUUUAUAGCAGAGCUCCAUAAUUUAUUGAACCAACCCUCUAUUGAUGAGCAUUAAAGUUAUUUCCAGUUUUCUUGCUAUUACAAACAAAGCUACAAUUAACAUUUUUUUGCACAUUUUUGUGUACUCAUGCAAGGGUAUGUAGAAAAGAAAUUCCUAGGUCAAAUGGUAGAUGUAUGUUACUUUUUUUUUUUUCUUUGCCUGCACCUCUCAGCUUGCAGGAUCUCAGUUCCCUGACCAGGGAUCAAACCCAGGCCCCGGGAAGUAAAAGCACCAAGUCCUAACCACUGGACGGCCAGGGAAUUCCCUGUUACAUUUUUAAAUAAUUGCCAAUGCUGUCUUCCAACAAAGGUUGCACAAACUUAUUCUCCCACCAACUGUGCAGGAAUGCUUGUUUCCCUACACCCUCAGCAGCACUGGGUACUACAACUCUCUUUAAUCUUUGUCAGUCUAAUAGAUGAAAAAUAAUACCUUCCUGCUAUUUUAAUACUUAUUUCUUUAAUUAUGAAUGACAAACGUUUAUUGGCCAUUUGUGGAGAGUUACUGCAAAAUGUCUUUGCUUCUCCUUUUUUGUCUUUUUCUUACUGAUUUCUAAACUUAAUUGCACAUGAGGAAAAUUGGUCUUUUGUUGUCGUAUGUGUUGAGAACAUAUUUUCCAGUUUGCCUUUUUUCUUUUGAAUAUUUUUACGGUGCAUUUUUCUCAUAUUGCUGUUUCAAUUUUUUAUGUUGUCAACUUUAUUAUCAUUCUUUUGCUAUGUAGUCUGUACUUUGUACCAUACUAAAGGCCCUCUCAUUUCUAAAAGUAUUUUCAAAAAUGUAUCCAUUUUCUCAUUGGCAUUAUCGUGGUUUCAUUUCUUUCUUUUUUCUUUCAAUAAAUUUAUUUUAUUUAUUUAUUUUUGGCUGCAUUGGGUCUUCGUUGCUGCGCACGGGCUUUCUCUAGUUGUGGUGAGCAGGGGCUACUCUUCAUUGCGGUGCACGGGCUUCUCAUUACGGUGGCUUCUCUUGUUGCGGAGCACGGGCUCUAGGCACGCAGGCUUCAGUAGCUGUGGCACGCGGGCUCGGUAGUUGUGGUUUGCGGGCUCUAGAGCACAGGCUUAGUAGUUGUGGCACACAGGCUUAGUUGCUCCUCGGCGUGUGGGAUCUUCCCGGACCAGGACUCGAACCCAUGUCCCCUGCAUUGGCAGGCAGAUUCUUAACCACUGCACCACCAGGGAAGCCCUGCUUGGUCUUUUGAGAUAUAUACACAUAUUUUUAUAUUAUAUACAAUCUACAUAAUAUAUAUAGAAUAAUAUAUGCAUUAUAUAUUAUGUAUUGAUAUUUAUAUCAUGUUAUUAUAUAAAUACAAUACAUAUGUAUUAUAAAUAUUUCUUCAUAAAUAAAUUAGGAGAAAUUGAUCUCUUAGGAUCCCAAAUAAGGUGAAAUGAGGUUGUCAUUGGUUGCUAGUAUAUGCCAACAAUUUCUACCCUAGGCAAAGUAAUAAAAGGCAGUGGGGUGGUAAUUCCCUGGCAGUCCAGUGGUUAGGACUCAGCGCUUUCACUGCUGUGGAACUAAGAUCCCACAAGCCGAGUGGCGAGCCCCCCAAAAAAAAAAAGCAGAGGAGGACAACAUCCCAGCACCUCCCAUCUGAUUAUCUCCACAGGCUUGGCUGUGGAUGAAAGAAGAUACCUCUAUCCAUUCCAUAGCCAAGAAAGCCCACCCAAAUGGAUCCAGAACAAAUCAAGAAUCUCACCUUUGGUGAAAGGUUGAAAGCAUUAUAGUCACCUGCUAUAUUGCAGUUAGGUCUUGGAGGUAAAUGAAGAGGGAUACAAAGAUUCUCCAGCAAAGACCCUCUUCUUAGGAAGAGAAAGCAAGAGAGCAAGGGUGUCAUAUCAGGGCUUCCCUGGUGGUGCAGUGGCUGGGAAUCCGCCUGCCAAUGCAGGGGACACAGAUUCAAGCCCUGGUCCCAGAAGAUCCCACAUGCCGCAGAGCUACUGAGCCUGCAAGCCGCAACUACUGAGACCGCGAGCCACCACUACUGAGCCCAUGAGCCACAGAUACUGAGGCCCACGUGCCUAGAGCCCGUGCUCUGCAACAAGAGAAGCCACCACGAUGAGAAGCCCACGCACUGCAACGAAGAGUAGCCCCCGCUUGCCACAGCUGGAGAGGGCCCACGUGCAGCAACGGGGACCAAACAUAGCCAAAAAUGAAAAAAUAAAAUAAAUAAAUUUUUAAAAAAUAUGUAUUCUAUCAGUUCUGAUGACCACAUCUAUA